CAAAACACGUUUUCAUUUUGUCUGCACCAGCCUGGGCGCAGGCGAGAGCGGGAGAGAGGGAGGGAGAGGGAGGCGCACGCCAACAGAAAGCCGCCGUGCUCAGGAGCGGGCCUGCGGCCACGUCCCUCCGCAGCCGCCCCAGCAGCCGUUCCCGCUCCCUCGUCCCCCUCUCCCUGCCCACCCGGCUUCGCCUGCCAAGUCCGAGUUGGCACGGCUCCCCAGGCUGCGCCGAACAAAGCCGUCACCCAUCCCCGAGCCGGAGCUGACAGUAAGCAAAGUGACAGGCGCAUCUUCCGCAUGUUAAUCCAAACGGCGAGAAGGCGAGCGAGCGGCGGAGCCCCCCCGUGCCAUGCACACACAGCCCCCCGCCACCGAGCCACCCACCCCACCCUUGGCACCCGACGGCCCCGGUGGCCUCGUGCGGGGAUGGCGAGGCCCCAGCCGGCGGGAGCACCGAAGGCUCCUCGUCGGCGAGGUUUAAAUCGAGCCGAAGCCCUGCUCGGCGGGCAAACGAGGCCACUCGGCAUCUGCUGUACCUGUUCCCGCUGCCUUCAUCUCGCCUUGGAACCGUGACAAGAGCGCACUCGCCUCUGGUGGGCUCUCAAAGCCGCGGGUCUGUAACCCUUUGCAGGAAGUUGGCACCGAUCCCAGGAAUUAUUUGCCUACGUGGAGCUUGGCGCUGCGGGAGAACAGAGCAAACAGCCUUAUCGAGGGCAGCUGUGCCACAGGGCACUUCCUCAUGCGUGGCUGCAAGAUGGGGCCCUCCAUGGCUGCAGGGGAGGGCUGGCAGCCCCUGGCUUCCCACUGACCACACACACACCAGGAGACACCAGGCACCAUCCAGGCACUGGGACAGCUCUCUGGGAUGCUUCCUCCCAGCUCCACGGUGGGACAGUGGCACGGCCAGGAGGGGGUUUGGACUGAACUGAAGGGUGUUCAGCAGGACGGCUCUGCAGGGGAAAGGGGAGGAUGGAACAGUCGCUCUGAGCUCAGCUGCACUUCCCUGGGCACAAAGGCUCAUCUCACUGCUUCCCAGAUCCUGCCAGACUCGAGCAUCCCAGCGGAGAGACAGACCAGCCUUGACCUGAGAUCCCCUCUCCUGGCUGCUGUCGCUGCCUGCCUUGUCCCCCAGGCAGCUGGGAGCAGAUGAGGCCAAAGUCUCGGCAAUCUCAGUUUUCCACUGGAGGCUGAUAAACAGCAUGGGCACGGAACGGCAGCGAUCCCCACCCAGGCUGGCUUUGUGCAGGAGAGUCAAUAUUUAAACCAGGGUUUGUUUCCUGGGCAGACAGGGGAGUGCCAGUGGGAGAACACCCCGGCUCCAUCCUGGGCGCCAGACCCAAACCUCCUCCUCCACCCCUCCAUUUGUUCUCCCGACCACAUGCUCCAGCCUGGAUCCUCUCUCCUGUGGGAAUGGGGCCCCAUCCCCUUCAGCUGGGAUACCUGAGCACCAUCUGCAGGGCCAGGCACUGACUAACGGGUAGCAAUUUAAGGGAGAGGAUGCUCAGCCAGCUUUGGGUUAUCUCCUUGCCUGCUCCUCGUGCAGGGUCCUCGUGGUGGGGCUGCUCAAAUGGAGCAUGGGACAACAAGAAUCAGGGAUAGAAACGAGGUGAGGAAAUAUUCAAUCAUCCUAAGAAUGGCAGCCCCUUGCUUCAAAGUAAGGCAGUGCACUGAAAGCUUUAAAACCUGGUUUUCAUUUAAACUGAGCAAAAACUACAGUCAACUGUUGGGUUUUCAGCCAAGUUUGUGAACCCUGAUGAACUGGGCAGAAAUUACUGGCAGGAUGCAUGCACUGGUGCAGCUUUAGGUAAAUCCCUUAGGUAAAUUCCGUAGGUAAAUUCCUCAAAGGACAGGAAAUACCACUUUCCCUGCAGUGGCUGCAGGAGGUUUGAAGGCAUGUGAGCAGCAGAAGGUGGGUUUAAUCUGGAGGGUAAAGGUACAUGCUGCUGGGCAGGUGCUGUGUGACCUGGCAGAUGCAAUGCCCUGUGUUGGAGCAGGUGAUAAAAUAAAGUGAUAAAAGGCCAGUGGGGAAGGAUGGAGCUGUGAGGGGGAAGAUGGAAUUGCUGAGCCCACCUGACUGGUCUGACAGCAGCAAAUGGUCUCCAUCACCCCUUCCAGAAGAUCUCAGGGUCAAUUUUAACUCCAAAAACCUAAUUCCACACAUACUGUUUCAAGCACCCAAGCUCUCUGCUGCCUCCACCCUCACUCCAGAUACACCCACUGCAGUUUGCUCAGUCUUCUGUGGAGGUGAGGAAUCAGGGGAAAUCUGAGUUUUAAACAGCUGUUUAUGCCUUGAUUUGGAGAAAAGACCAAAGGAAGUGCCUGUCUUAAACUGAAACCUUCCCUGAGGGAGCACAUUAUACAGGGGGAAAAAAAAACCAAACCAAAAACCCAAACAAAAAAAACCCCAACCGACCAAAAAAACACCUGAUAGUUGUUUAAUAACUGUAUUUUAGAGCAUAAUUAAAUCCUCUUUGAAAUCAUCUCUGGUGUUAGGGAACAGGUCCAUGCAUUAUUUAACUGUAACACAAACUGGGAGAGAGGGAGGACAGACAGGACAGACUUCACAACACCAAAGGGAGCUGGGUGGGGGCUGCCAGUCCCAGCACGUACCACCACUGUCCUGCAAGCCCUGCCUGGGGUGUGCUUCGACCCUGCCUGCUGGAGGAAAACCCUGUGUCAUGGCAGGUCCCCACAAGACCAGGGUGAGAUGUGGCCCCAGCUGCUGCUGCUGCAGCACAUGGGAACCUGCUCAAGGAAUGCUAAACCUCUUCCCAGAGAGUGCAGCAUCACCUCUGUGCAAAAGACUGCUUCGUGGGGAACUGAAAUGGGGAAAAAUGCCUGGCUGCCAUCACAGCACAGACUGGUGCAAAGAAACUCUUGUCUGGGGAACUGAGCAUCAAUCCUGCCCUGGUGCCACUGAUGAGUUCUGCU